rnacentral:sRNA from 1 species
UGAGUAAGGUAUACAAGAGGAUCGCCGGC